UACGUAGGGGGCGAGCGUUGUCCGGAUUUAUUGGGCGUAAAGCGCGCGUAGGCGGCCCUGUAAGUCCGUUGUGAAAGUCAAAGGCUCAACCUUUGAAAGCCGAUGGAUACUGCAGGGCUAGAGUCCGGAAGAGGCGAGUGGAAUUCCUGGUGUAGCGGUGGAAUGCGGAGAUAUCAGGAGGAACACCAAUAGCGAAGGCAGCUCGCUGGGACGGUACUGACGCUAAGGCGCGAAAGCGUGGGGAGCGAACAGG
rnacentral:rRNA from 1 species